AUUGAACGCUGGCGGCAGGCCUAACACAUGCAAGUCGAGCGGAUGAAGGGAGCUUGCUCCUGGAUUCAGCGGCGGACGGGUGAGUAAUGCCUAGGAAUCUGCCUGGUAGUGGGGGAUAACGUCCGGAAACGGGCGCUAAUACCGCAUACGUCCUGAGGGAGAAAGUGGGGGAUCUUCGGACCUCACGCUAUCAGAUGAGCCUAGGUCGGAUUAGCUAGUUGGUGGGGUAAAGGCCUACCAAGGCGACGAUCCGUAACUGGGCUGAGAGGAUGAUCAGUCACACUGGAACUGAGACACGGUCCAGACUCCUACGGGAGGCAGCAGUGGGGAAUAUUGGACAAUGGGCGAAAGCCUGAUCCAGCCAUGCCGCGUGUGUGAAGAAGGUCUUCGGAUUGUAAAGCACUUUAAGUUGGGAGGAAGGGCAGUAAGUUAAUACCUUGCUGUUUUGACGGUACCAACAGAAUAAGCACCGGCUAACUUCGUG
rnacentral:rRNA from 1 species